rnacentral:rRNA from 1 species
GAUCAUGGCUCAGAUUGAACGCUGGCGGCAGGCUUAACACAUGCAAGUCGAACGGUAGCAGGUAAGUACUUGUACUUAUGCUGACGAGUGGCGGACGGGUGAGUAAUGCUUGGGGAUCUGGCUUAUGGAGGGGGAUAACGACGGGAAACUGUCGCUAAUACCACGUAGAAUCGAGAGAUGAAAGUGUGGGACCUUCGGGCCACAUGCCAUAGGAUGAACCCAAGUGGGAUUAGGUAGUUGGG